AUGCGACCGGUCUUUGUCUCAUUCAUCCUGGUUGCCGCGCACAUUUCUGCAGACGCGGAUUGCAGAGCGAUCUCUGGGCCGCGGCGGCCGCGGCCGCCGCAGCCGCAGCACGUGACGGGCGGCGAUAAGAGCGGGACGCGCUCGAGUCUGGGGUUUGAAAUGAGAGGGGACGCUUUCACAGGCCUGCUGGCUACAAACAACUUUGUGUCAAUAUUUGACUUGAGGAGAGAGCGGUUCCUGUGCACGGACUCGAGCGGACAGCUGAUCCCCUCGAGACGGAGCCCGGACUGUUUCCUCCGGCGCUCCCGCUUGAAUCUGGCGUUCCCCUCGCCGAGCGGGAAGCAGCCGCCGGGGGCGAGGAGGCGCAGGAGGAGCAAGGAGGUGAACCCCUCCGACCCCCUCAUGUCGGAAACGCAUCCCUCGCUUCCCGCCAAAGAUGGAGAUAAGAGCCAGCCGGAUCAGGACCGGGCCGGCGCCGUGUCCAAGGAGACCAUCACGUCCUGCGACGACCCCCUGCGAGUGCUGAGGCCCAACGGCGCCGGCAGCCCCGUCAAGACCAACAUCGCCGACCGCGCGGAGCACAGCUGA
rnacentral:lncRNA from 1 species